rnacentral:rRNA from 1 species
AAUCAACGCUGGCGGCGUGCCUAACACAUGCAAGUCGAGCGAGAAAGGGGUAGCAAUACCCUGAGUAAAGCGGCGCACGGGUGAGUAACACGUGGGUAACCUGCCCUAGAGUGGGGAAUAACACCGGGAAACCGGUGCUAAUACCGCAUACGAUCAUGGUGUCUUCGGACGUUGUGAUGAAAGGAGCAAUUCGCUCUUGGAGGGGCCCGCGGCUGAUUAGCUAGUUGGUAAGGUAAUGGCUUACCAAGGCUACGAUCAGUAUCCGGUCUG